UUAACUCUCUGUGUCUGUUUCUAUGUGUUAGGAAAGUCAGCUGUGUCUCCUGUUCUUGACAGUAGUGGCCUUAUAAAGAAGAGGUCCUAUACUACCCUGCAGUGCAAUGUUCCCUGUUAACCAGAAUCUGGCACUUCAGGGGGGUCUCCUAUGUGUGAGGCAUGUGCCCAGCUG